rnacentral:misc_RNA from 1 species
GAUGAAGAAGUAGCGAAAUGCGAUAAGUAGUGUGAAUUGCAGAAUUCAGUGAAUCAUCGAAUCUUUGAACGCACAUUGCGCCCCUUGGUAUUCCAUGGGGCAUGCCUGUUCGAGCGUCAUUUGUACCUUCAAGCUCUGCUUGGUGUUGGGUGUUUGUCUCGCCUCUGCGUGUAGACUCGCCUCAAAACAAUUGGCAGCCGGCGUAUUGAUUUCGGAGCGCAGUACAUCUCGCGCUUUGCACUCAUAACGACGACGUCCAAAAGUACAUUUUUACACUCUUGACCUCGGAUCAGGUAGGGAUACCCGCUGAACUUAAGCAUAUCAAUAAGCGGAGGA